rnacentral:rRNA from 1 species
UGACAGGUGGUGCAUGGUUGUCGUCAGCUCGUGUCGUGAGAUGUUGGUUAAGUCCCGCAACGAGCCGCAACCCUCGACCUUAGUUGCCAGCAUUCAGUUGGGCACUCUAAGGUGACUGCCGGCUAAAAGUCGGAGGAAGGUGGGGAUGACGUCAAAUCAUCAUGCCCCUUAUGACCUGGGCUACACACGUGCUACAAUGGGCGGUACAAAGGGUCGCGAACCCGCGAGGGGGAGCCAAUCCCAAAAAGCCGCUCUCAGUUCGGAUUGCAGGCUGCAACUCGCCUGCAUGAAGCCGGAAUCGCUAGUAAUCGCGGAUCAGCAUGCCGCGGUGAAUACGUUCCCGGGCCUU